AUAUUAGACGAAAUUGGGAACGGGCCCCAAUAAUAGUUAUUAGAUUCUCUUAGAGAAUAUAUAACGUCAAUGGUUCGUCGUGUACGAUCCUCUGCGAGUUGUUUAUCUUCACAGCAGAUUACGUAAGUAAGAGUUUGGAGCAUUUGUAAAAUGGGCCAACAUUUUGUUAGUAUU
rnacentral:sRNA from 12 species